GCUAGAUAUGAUUAGUGGCGGACGGGUGAGUAACAUUUAGGAAUCUGCCUAGUAGUGGGGGAUAGCUCGGGGAAACUCGAAUUAAUACCGCAUACGACCUACGGGUGAAAGGGGGCGCAAGCUCUUGCUAUUAGAUGAGCCUAAAUCAGAUUAGCUAGUUGGUGGGGUAAAGGCCCACCAAGGCGACGAUCUGUAACUGGUCUGAGAGGAUGAUCAGUCACACCGGAACUGAGACACGGUCCGGACUCCUACGGGAGGCAGCAGUGGGGAAUAUUGGACAAUGGGGGCAACCCUGAUCCAGCCAUGCCGCGUGUGUGAAGAAGGCCUUUUGGUUGUAAAGCACUUUAAGCAGGGAGGAGAGGCUAAUGGUUAAUACCCAUUAGAUUAGACGUUACCUGCAGAAUAAGCACCGGCUAACUCUGUGCCAGCAGCCGCGGUAAUACAGAGGGUGC
rnacentral:rRNA from 1 species